ACCCUCAAAUUUAAGGGCUAUCUGUCCCUUGUUUCAAGCUCUGCUUCACACAAAAUAUCCCCCCAGCUUGUACCCUUAAGACCUCCAUGGAAACAUAGCUAAAUAUGGAACCUGAGGCUCACAAUACUGCUUCUUCUUCUUCUUCCUCAACUGCCUCUCCCUCCUCUUCUUUCCCUUCUCCAAUAAACAACUCCACGGAAUUGAAGUACCAAAAAAGCUCCAAGCGAGAUCAAGAACUCAAGAGCGAGGAUGAAACAAACAAAAAGGUAAAGAUUACUAGUGAAAAAGCAAGAAGGCAUCCAUCUUAUCGGGGAGUAAGAAUGCGUCAAUGGGGCAAAUGGGUAUCCGAAAUCCGGGAACCGAGGAAGAAAUCAAGAAUUUGGCUAGGAACUUAUUCAACAGCAGAAAUGGCAGCUCGAGCUCACGAUGUAGCAGCUCUAACAAUAAAGGGUCGUUCAGCUCAUCUCAAUUUUCCAGAGCUAGCUCAUGAGCUUCCCCGUCCGGCAAGUGCAUCUCCGAAAGAUAUUCAAGCUGCUGCUGCUCUAGCAGCCGCCUUGAGCUACAAGAGUAAAGGUCACGAUCAAGCUGAAAUGGAGUCAAGCCAAGAUAGUACGGAGGCAUCUCAUGAUACUCCAGAGUUCUUAAGCUCAACAUUAAGAGAUCAUGAAGAUGACACUUUUAUCGACCUGCCGGAUCUUCUACUGGACAUAAGUCAUAAAAUUGAUGAGUUCUGUCACUUGUCAUCAUCUUGGCAGCAGGUUGCUGGAGUUGAGACUUUGGACACCGGAUUCUGGCAUGAAGAAGAGACAUCUUUAUGGGAGUAUUAAUUACAAGUUGAAACAAUUACGUAGGUAUUAUAGUUAAACUUUAGUUACUAGCUAGUUUAUAACAGUUCAGUCUCAAGUUGUUACUACUUUUUCUCCAAUUCUGCGCAUACGCAUACCAAAAACAGUAAAUCUGAAGUUCCAACUUUCCA
rnacentral:misc_RNA from 1 species